GUGGGGAAUCUUGCGCAAUGGGCGAAAGCCUGACGCAGCCAUGCCGCGUGAAUGAUGAAGGUCUUAGGAUUGUAAAAUUCUUUCACCGGGGACGAUUAUGACGGUACCCGGAGAAGAAGCUCCGGCUAACUUCGUGCCAGCAGCCGCGGUAAUACGAAGGGGGCUAGCGUUGCUCGGAAUUACUGGGCGUAAAGGGCGCGUAGGCGGACAGCUUAGUCAGAGGUGAAAGCCCAGGGCUCAACCUUGGAAUUGCCUUUGAUACUGGCUGUCUUGAGUUUGGGAGAGGUGAGUGGAACUCCGAGUGUAGAGGUGAAAUUCGUAGAUAUUCGGAAGAACACCAGUGGCGAAGGCGACUCACUGGCCCAAUACUGACGCUGAGGCGCGAAAGCGUGGGGAGCAAACAGGAUUAGAAACCCGUGUAGUCC
rnacentral:rRNA from 1 species